UGCAGCACUGCGCGUGAUGUGAAGAAGGCCUUUAUGGUCUGUAAAGCACUUUAAGCGAGGAGGAGGCUACUGAGACUAAUACUCUUGGAUAGUGGACGUUACUCGCAGAAUAAGCACCGGCUAACUCAGUGCCAGCAGCCGCGGUAA
rnacentral:rRNA from 1 species